GCCUCGGUGGUGUAGUGGUAGAGCACGCGUACCUGCAUAGGAUGAAACGCGGGUUCGGUUCCCGCCUAAGGCC